rnacentral:rRNA from 1 species
CAGUAGCCACGGGAAUACAGAGGGUGCAAGCGUUAAUCGGAAUUACUGGGCGUAAAGCGCGCGUAGGUGGUUCGCCAAGUUGGAUGUGAAAUCCCCGGGCUCAACCUGGGAACUGCAUCCAAAACUGGCGAGCUAGAGUAUGGUAGAGGGUGGUGGAAUUUCCUGUGUAGCGGUGAAAUGCGUAGAUAUAGGAAGGAACAUCAGUGGCGAAGGCGACCACCUGGACUGAUACUGACACUGAGGUGCGAAAGCGUGGGGAGCAAACAGGAUUAGAUACCCGCGUAGUCCCUGUCUCUUAUAA